rnacentral:rRNA from 1 species
GAGAUCUUUAGCAAAGCUUGCUUUGCUAAGUCUAGUGGCGAACGGGUGAUUAACACGUGAGCAACCUGCCCAGAAGCAGUGGAUAAGCCACCGAAAGGUGGUCUAAUACCGUAUGUGAUUCCAAGGGGCAUCUCUUGGACAUUAAAGGGGGGGAUCUUACGACCUCUCACUUCUGGAUGGGCUCGAGGCCUAUCAGCUUGUUGGUUAGGUAACGGCUCACCAAGGCAACGACGGGUAACUGGUCUGAGAGGAUGAUCAGUCACACUGGAACUGAGACACGGUCCAGACACCUACGGGUGGCAGCAGUCGAGAAUCAUUCACAAUGGGCGAAAGCCUGAUGGUGCGACGCCGCGUGGAGGAUGACAGCCCUAGGGUUGUAAACUCCUGUCAUGAGAGAGUAAAGACUUAACGUUAAUACCGUUGGGUCCUGAUAGUAUCUCAAGAGGAAGGGACGGCUAA